GAUGAACGCUGGCGGCGUGCCUAAUACAUGCAAGUCGAGCGAACGGACGAGAAGCUUGCUUCUCUGACGUUAGCGGCGGACGGGUGAGUAACCCGUGGAUAACCUACCUAUAAGACUGGGAUAACUUCGGGAAACCGGAGCUAAUACCGGAUAAUAUUUUGAACCGCAUUGUUCAAAAGUGAAAGACGGUCUUGCUGUCACUUAUAGAUGGAUCCGCGCUGCAUUAGCUAGUUGGUAAGGUAACGGCUUACCAAGGCAACGAUGCAUAGCCGACCUGAGAGGGUGAUCGGCCACACUGGAACUGAGACACGGUCCAGACUCCUACGGGAGGCAGCAGUAGGGAAUCUUCCGCAAUGGGCGAAAGCCUGACGGAGCAACGCCGCGUGAGUGAUGAAGGUCUUCGGAUCGUAAAACUCUGUUAUUAGGGAAGAACAAAUGUGUAAGUAACUGUGCACAUCUUGACGGUACCUAAUCAGAAAGCCACGGCUAACUACGUG
rnacentral:rRNA from 1 species